CGUGGCGACCGGCGCACGGGUGAGUAACGCGUAUGCAACCUGCCCGAUACCGGGGUAUAGCCCAUGGAAACGUGGAUUAACACCCCAUAGUACUUUUAUCCUGCCUGGGAUGUGAGUUAAAUGUUCAAGGUAUCGGAUGGGCAUGCGUCCUAUUAGUUAGUUGGCGGGGUAACAGCCCACCAAGACGAUGAUAGGUAGGGGUUCUGAGAGGAAGGUCCCCCACAUUGGAACUGAGACACGGUCCAA
rnacentral:rRNA from 1 species